rnacentral:rRNA from 1 species
GUUUGAUCAUGGCUCAGAUUGAACGCUGGCGGGAUGCUUUACACAUGCAAGUCGAACGGCAGCACGGACUUCGGUCUGGUGGCGAGUGGCGAACGGGUGAGUAAUGUAUCGGAACGUGCCUAGUAGCGGGGGAUAACUACGCGAAAGCGUAGCUAAUACCACAUACCUACGCCCUUCGGGGAAAGCGGGGGGACCUUCGGGCCUCGCACUAUUAGAGCGGCCGAUAUCGGAUUAGCUAGUUGGUGGGGGUAACGGCUCACCAAGGCGACGAUCCGUAGCUGGUUUGAGAGGACGACUAGCCACACUGGGACUGAGACACAGCCCAGACUCCUACGGGAGGCAGCAGUGGGAAAUUUUGGACAAUGGGGAAACCCUGAUCCAGCCAUCCCGCGUGUGCAAUGAAGGCCUUCCGGGUUGUAAAGAAAAACACUUUUGGCAGGAAAGAAACGGCACGGGAUAAUACCCGUGCGCUGACCAGUACCACUGCAGAAUAGCACCAGCUAACCGUGCCAGCAGCCAUGACUAUUACGUAGGGUGCAAGCGUUAAUCGGAAUUACUGGGCGUAAAGCGUGCGCAGGCGGUUCCGGAAAGAAAGAUGUAAAUCCCAGAGCUUAACUUUGGAACUGCAUUUUUAACUGCCAGCUAGAGUGUGUGUCAGAGGAGGUGGAAUUCCGCGUGUAGCAGUGAAAUGCGUAGAUAUGCGGAGGAGCACCGAUGGCGAAGGCAACCUCCUGGGAUAGCACUGACGGCUCAUGCGGCGUGGGAGCAAGCAAGUUGCAGAUACCCUGGUAGUCCACGCCUAAACGAUGUCAACUGGCUGUUGAGACUGUGCGGGCCUUGGUAGCGCAGCUAACGCGUGAAGUUGACACUUACUGGGGAGUACGGUCGCAAGGAAUUAAACUCAAGGAAUUGACGGGGACCACUAAGCAGUGGAUGAUGUGGAUUAAUUCGAUGCAACGCGAAAAACCUUACCUACCCGCUUGACAUGUCUGAAUCCCGAAGAGAUUUGGUUACCUCGCAGGAAACACAGUUUACAGGUACUUUGCAUGGCUGUCGAUCAAUAAGUAACCGUCGAGAUGUUGGGUUAAGUCCCGCAACGAGCGCAACCCUUGCAAUCAUUAGUUGCUACGAAAGGGCACUCUAAUGAAACUGCCGGUGACAAACCGGAGGAAGGUGGGGAUGACGUCAAAAGUCCUCAUGGCCCAUAUGGGUAGGGCUUCACACGUCAUACAAUGGUCGGGACAGAGGGUCGCAACCGCCCGCGAGGGGGAGCCAAUCCCAGAAACCUGAUCGUAGUCUGGAUCGCAGUCUGCAACUCGACUGCGUGAAGUCGGAAUCGCUAGUAAUCGCAGAUUAACUAUGUCGCGGUGAAUACGUUCCCGGAGUCUUAUACACACCGCCCGUCACACCAUGGGAGUGGGUUUUACCAGAAAGUAGUUAACCUAACCGUAAAGGGCGAUUACCACGAUAGGAUUCAUGACUGGGGUGAAGUCGUAACGAGUGG